GGCAGAGAGCCAUUUUGUGCCUCAGGAAAGAAGGCUCAAAGAAAGACUGCAGCAGCAUUGAGCAGACUCCGAUAGUAGAGGUCUGGGCCAGCCUGCCUUCCUGGCCCAAGUGCCUCCAAGAGCAACAUCUGGCAGACUGCAGCUGAAGACGCCAGGCUGGAAGACAGCGGACCUGAAGUUCCUAGCUGAUGACGGUAGAAGGAUAUAUCUGAGUUCUGAAAAAAUGGACUGACCUUUCAGCAUCCCAGAUCAGGCUGCAGAUGUGUGAGAGUUUGGACACCUGGACAAUUGACUUCCAUGGAGUGGAAGGAUGGAUCUCAUUCUCUACUGGUGCCAGGGGCAGAUUAACCUCUUUGCCGCCCAUAGGCAAAGAUUAUUGUGCUGCUGCGAGUGGGGUGUGUGUGUGUGGGGGGGGGAAAUCUCCCCCUUUUCACUCUAAAAAACAUCACCACUGCCAC